rnacentral:rRNA from 1 species
GACAGAGGGUGCAAACGUUGCUCGGAAUCACUGGGCGUAAAGGGCGUGUAGGCGGGAAGGAAAGUCAGAUGUGAAAUCCCCAGGCUCAACCUGGGAACUGCAUUUGAAACUCCCUUUCUUGAGUACCGGAGAGGAAAGCGGAAUUCCUGGUGUAGAGGUGAAAUUCGUAGAUAUCAGGAGGAACACCAGCGGCGAAGGCGGUGCUCUGGGCCGGAACUGACGCUGAGGAGCGAAAGCGUGGGGAGCGAACAGG